CGCACAAAUCCUUGAUGUAAACAUUUCUACAGUUUGUUCUCCGAGCAGUUCUGGUUACCAGUGCAGAUGUGAGGAUCAGUAUCGUUGGUCAUGUGACCAGUGUUUACAGUAUACAUCCUGUGACAACAUCACUGGGGACACAUGUGGAUGCAUCAAUGCCAUUCCUCCUGAUGGACAAUACUGCCAGCCUUCUGGUCAAAACACCUUUACCCUUUGUC